CCCGCUUUUGGGGUCAUUCUAAACAUCGAGGGAUUCGGGCCCAGCAGCCGGUGGAGAGAGCCAGCCAAGAGCUAACACCUCCAAGCUGCACGUCUAAAAGCUGAUUGGAGAAAAGGGGGGAGGUUUGCUACUUUUGGUAAAAGUGAAAGGCUGUACGGUGGGGGUGGGUUGAAUAUUCUGUGUGUGCCUGUGUGUGUUCUCAGUUUGUUGAACCUGCUAUGUUUUUAAGGGCCUCUUGCCUUGCGAGGCCAGAGAGAUAAGGGAAUUGUACAGUUGUUGUUUUUUUCCCCCCUGUGGUUUAGCGAGAUGUCGUAGGAUUUGAAGGGACUGAGUGGCAUACCCGUCAUGUCAAAGUGUUUGUUUGACACCCCAGAAUCACACUGGGAAUGGUAAUUGCAUUAGAUUUGUCUUCAAAUUUGUCAAAGGAGCAACCUUCUGCUUGCUGCCACCGGCAGUCACAGGAUUUCUUUGCCACCUCGCUCUAAGCCAUUUUAUAAGAAACUCAGGACACUGGGUUCCCAGGAGCUCUGCAAGGCGGGGGAGGUGGGGGCACCCAUACCCUUCCCAGAACGCUGACCUUAUUACGUCGUAUUAAUUUACACACACAGCCCUGCCCUCCAGCCGUGACCUAUACAGACACCCACAUACCUUAAGUUUAUUUACUUGCAAACCUGGGUUUCAAUCAGGUGUCCACCGCACAGAAUAGCCAAGUGAGCUGUUCCUAAAGAACUUUGGAAUACAAGGUUCUUGCUAGAGGAUUCUGUGUUUAAUAGACACGACACAUGUACACACAGAUGACAUUUGCGCUGCUGGGGGCCUUGGCAAAAACUGUCCUUUACUCCCCGGGCUCUUUCUCUUUGUUAUGGGACACGAUGAAACAGCACAAAAUCCAGGAGCCCAGAAUUGCAGCGUGGCUCAAUGAUGGGCAGUUGUCACGUUGUGACAUAAAUUGUGUUUGUGCUUUGCUGAAUUGUCACCGCCCUGGCCGCACCAGAGAGCUGUCAGAUCCUAUUUGCUUUGCUAAAUAAGGAUCUCUCGCCAAAUUAGCCUUUAAUGAUACUUCCACAAAUAGGGUGUUUUACGUGAAUUAACGAGGCCGGAAUCGGGAACGUGGCCCCAAGAUACUGAGCCAUAGAACCGGGCGGGGAAGCCGUAUGUUAACAUUGCUGGAUUGCGAAGUGCGGGGAGCCAGGCGGAGUUGCGAGCUGCGUGUGGAGCUGGUCGGCUGUCAGGCGAGCACUUGCGAGAGAGAGCACAGCCCUUGCUUCCACGAAGCCCUCUGAAACCGAGCCUGUAACGCUGAAUACAUUUAGCGAACUCUGCCCCCUCACCCCCCCACCCCCCCACCGAGUCUGGAAACAGGCAAAGUAGUAUGGUGGAGAGAUUAUAAAUCAGGACUUUGCAGUGAGAGGUCCUCAGUGAUUCGGCAGAGAAUCACAGCUUCUUUUCAUAUUCCCACCACCCUCCCCUCUCCCUGCCCUCCCUGCAGCAAUAAGAAAAAAAAGAAGGAACGUGUAACCACUGAAUAUGCUGAAUGCAUUUUGGCUUUUCUCCUUUGGCCCGUCUGUGUGAAAUUUCAUGAAGCGGCUGCUAUCCCCCCCCCCCCCCACCAAGAAGUGUGGGUUUAGAAGGAAAAAAAAAAUAGCAACUUUGAAAUUAGUUCUUCGCAAUAUACAAGCAGAGCCCAUCUCCUAGGGACAAAAAGUUUUCGAAGGGGGUGGAAAUGUAUAGCCAGCUAGGGGUGAGGAAGAGGGGGUAGUGUGACGAAUAUUUCCUUAAGAAUGAAACGCGUUUGUGAUGCCAACCAGUGAAAAGUGGGGAAGUCCCUGUGAGGGACCACUCCCUCUAUUUCUCCCUUCCCAGUACCCCAGUACCGCUCCCCAAAAACGCACGCAUGCACGCACGCACACACACACACACACACACUUUAUAUUAAGAACAGAAAGAAGAAUCUUGCCAGCUUAAAGGUAUGGCUUUCUAGAAGUGGAUCGGUGCGCCCUCUUUUCAUUGGGAUCGGAGAAUAAAUACAGCUCUUAGGGGCAUGAGGAUAAAAAUGAGCCUGAUGAAAGUUGAGGCAAACUCAGGUCCUUAGACUCGUUUGUCAGCCCCGAGGUGCCUACGCCAACAAAAGAAAAUGGUGUUGAUCAGAAUUCAUGUAAGCCGGAAUUUUCUCUCUUGCCCGGCAUCGGGAUGAUGUAAAAGGCUUCUUUGCGGCUUGUGCAUGGAACGGGGUGCAAAGAAACCCUGAAACACGACGCAAACGUGAGCUAAACAACCAGAGACUCUUCGGGCCCCGUAGCCGCGCGGGCUUUUACAAGCAAAAGGGUGGAUGUGGUGGAGAGUUUGGAAGGACUGAACUUUGGAGGCCCUCCCGUCACCCUGAGCACCCCCUGGGGCUCUCUUCAGAGCAGCCUUACCUCGCAUCUUCAGUUACAGGGGGCACGUCAGUGUUUACAGAACCCUCAGGUUUCUCAUUUUACAUCAUCUUCCUUUUAUAACACAUCUGCAUUUAAGGAACCACAAGGCCAGUUGGUGUCCCUGAAUGGCCACUCCACUCCACAAAAGGGAGACAGACCUACAAAACGUGUACGUUGCUGUCACAAGAAAGCCACAGGGAAGAAAGCCACGGGAAGAGGGGGGCGGGGGGGAGGGGGACAAACUGAGCCUUGUCUCCGGGAUCUGGCCUCCGCAGGGAAGGGAGUCGGCGUCUACCUUGAGUCUUCAGCCAGCCGGGCAGCGCGGUGUUCCCAGAGGCGUAUGGAAAACUAGGCUCUCUUGUUGGAAUCGUGCGUGAGAUCAGUGCUCGGGCCUGUUGGCAUCUCUGCCCAAGACAGCGUGGACCGCUGCCAGCCCAGGCCUGAACGUGGCCCUAGAGGCACCGCUGGAGCCCACACGAGCCCCAAGACAGGUGUCCGGGGGUCUCUGCUCCCGGGACCCAGCCGGCAGCAUUUCUUGGCUACAGGAGGGGUGUGUGGCUCCUGAGGGACUCCCCAGAGACUCUCAGGGCUCACCGGCCGUUACCACGUGGUCCGUGCUGAGGGCAGUACCUCACUUUGCUAAGCACGGCCUCCCAGAUGCUCAAAGGGAAACAGAGGAGGCCGCCCUAUGGGCUUGGGGCAAAUCCGCCUGGGCAAGAGGGGAGAGAGCGGACGUGAGUCUAGAAGGUUCAGGGGCAGAGCUGUGCUUCUGCAGGCCAGCAGGAAGUCUUCUCCACUUUCCACUUGGGAUGGGCCCGGGGGGCACGGCGUGGGGCCAGCAGCCCAGAGAGAACUGGGUGGGCAUCCCCAGGGAGAACGCGCCAAAAGGAAGCCCGCUCAGGCAAGGUGCACCCAGCCCUGAGUCACCAGUCCCACGGGACUCCCAUUUGGCCCCAGCAACCGGACUCCAGGCCACCAGAAGGCCUCGUGGGCUCCUGAUUGUCUCUUAGGAUGGCAUUGAAAGGUCCAGACCAGGCACUUGUAGGCCAGGCCAUAUUUAGCCUCAGGUUCACCCAGAGAAUAUUUUAGGUGCUGCUUGAAAGAAGAGAUCCGGCCGGGUUGCCAGCUGUCACAUGGCGAGUGUAGAAUCGCGCCCUUGCAGGCCUGGCCCAGACGGCUGGGUGCUCACCAGCACAGAUGGCCCAGGGUCCCCGCCAGGGCUCCGGGGCCACGUGGCAGGUGCCAAGGAGACAGCGAGCGCCCAGGGAGCCGGUUCUGUGUCAGGAAGGCUUUGCGUCCCGUUUUCGUUCCGAUGGUGAUAAGGUGGCCUCCAUUGACAGAGCUCCCAGAGGCUGUUUUCAGCCCCUCUCUUGUCUCGAUGGCCCAGUGUGAUAUGCCAGCCUGCCGUGAGAGCAGCCUUCUCCUCCUUGGGUGUCAGCCACUGUGGAGAGCUUAACCCUUUCAGGGUUAACCCUUUCAGCCAGGCGUGCUGGCUGGCAUGGGGGGGGGGGCGCGGCCCACCUGCAGAGACCUUGAAGGCCACAGGCCCCAGGGGGCCACAGGCCUCAAUCACUAGCGGCCAGACCUGAGAGGUGGCAUCCCGGAUCUUAGCAGGCAUUCUCCCCGCCUUGUGCCCCAUCAGUGAUGGCCAGCAGGCUCCCCUCCCCAAGCCUUCAACCUGCAGUUGGUUGGAAACAGCUGCUCCCUUCCCGCAUGUUUCCUCGCAGGUUCCCAAGUUGACCACCUUUCCCACAGUCCCCGCGAGGAGGUGUUGACGGAUCCGUGGUUUCCUUAGAUCAGUAACGAGAGUGGGGAGUAAUCAACCAUUCGGGGUCUUGGAGGGACGUCACGGGCGAGUCCUGGGAGUCACCUGGUGUCAGGGGACGAGCCUCAUGACCCGCGCUGGGAUUCCAGAUCUUGGUUUUCCGGGCACAGAGGAGGCGCGUCGGUCUUGAAGCCGCCGCACACACACACAUUUAGCCAAUUACCAGCCAAUAAUCGUCAGCCUUUGGGGGAGCCUGGGUGGAGCCGCCGCAUACCGUGAAAGCUUUGGCUUGUUUAAAAUUUGCUCUAACUUUGUACGUUUCUUCCUUUUUAGUUUUGGCUCUUGGUGCUCCGGGAGCCACCACUUCCUGCCCAGCUGGUUCGUUACCGCAGGGAAAAUGAGGGACUUUUGGGGGCAGAUGUGUUUCUAUUCCACUAUCAUAAUGCCCCUAAAAAUCCUUAUUGCUCUUGCAGUAUUCCUCGGGGCCCCUGGGCCGGCUGGGAAGACGGCAGCUCUGAGUUCCUCCAGCACCCAAAGGAGGAGAGAAAGAUGCCCCCCCCCACCCCGCCAACCCUCCCCAGACACCUCCUUCUCCACUCACAGCGCUCAGAACUGGUCACUGCCACGAGCAAGAAAAAGGCGCCACGCACAGACAUUGGUUGCUAAACAUGCUUUUUGUCUCCACGGGCAGAGGGCUGGAAGUCAGACCCGGGAAACAGGGCAGCCGUGGGGACUGUCAGCCUUGGCCUUUGCUCUGGGGGUUCCUGUCGGGGAGGUGGGGAAAGUGGAAAAGAAACAGGCAUUACCUGUUUGACCAGGCGAAUGAGGCGAAAAUUUCACGUUCAGCCUGGCCCUGGGCCUCUGGGAUCUUCACCUUGGCACGGGGCCCUGGCCGGUCCUGGCUUUCUCCCCAGCUCCCCCAGACACAUCACUUUCCCACUCUCUGCCUCGGUUUCCCCAUCUGCCAAGGGAGGGCAACACCCCAGGAUCUGGCCUCAAGGCCAGUGGGUUGUACCCAGUGCUAUGCGCUCAAGUGCAGUACAAGCCCCGAAGGUGCUUUGAAAAUGGGGGAGUUGAGGCAUUAACCAUGGAAGGUGUUAGUACUAAUAUUUACUGAACACACGCCUUAUAUGCUGAGACGACCCAGACAUGGAGGAGAGACCACAGCCCAACAGUGAGCACAGGUUUUUGGAAUCAGCCUGCCUGCACUUUGUGACCCCCGCUGUGUCCCCCCCCCCCCCACCCAGGCAAAUGACUCAACCUCUCCGCGCUGCCAUUUCCUCCCACGUGAAACCCACCCCUCGGAAUAGCGAUCUCCCGAGUCUGAUGCACAGACCUACUCAAUAAUUUUAAGCGGCACCCGGCUAAGGACGUACGUUUCUCUCAUAGGUAUUUCUUUGUACAGCUCAUUUCUAUUUACAGCAAGCAGUUGGUUUGCAAUUUGGGGCACGGGGAGAAGGGCCCUUUGUGGUACACGGGUGACUGAGCCUGGGGCAGAAAUCAAGAUGUAGCGGGGUGGGUUCCCAAUUCAAAUCUGGGGAGGGGUCCGCCUGUGACAGCCUGGAUGUCACAUGUCUUCCCUUCUCGGGGGUGGCCGACCCCUUCCCUGCUCGCCAACACAGAGACCUCCGCCCCUACACCCACGCAGAGCUCUGAUGUGUCUCUCAUCUUGGGAUCGUGACGACCCAUGACCUCACCAGGGAACCUGUCGGCCUCAGUUUCUCGGCGACAUGGGGACAAUAAUGAACCCUCUGUCCCAGAUCGAGGAGUUCACAGGGCUCCAUGGGGCAGCUAUGAUGGUUCACCGACAGCCCCAUGAGACAGGCAGGGGCCACAGCAGUGCCUUCAGCCUGGAGGGACACUCCUUCGACAGGCCACCCCAUGCCAGGCCUGGGCGCCAGCUCCCUGCCUCCCCCCCGCACCCCGGGCUGGUGGCUUUACAGGGAAACAGCGGGCGCUCGGCCCCAGCCGGCAGGGGUGGACUCUGGUUUCACUUUCUGCUGUGUCAUGGGGUGGGGGGUGGCAUCGGGGCCCAGCUGGCCAGCUGGGGCAGGCACCGAGAGCCUGGCGGCCAGCUGCCGGCCCAGCUGCCAGAGCACAGCCCACGCCCCUGCCCUGCAGGCUGCCAGGAUGGGGGCUGGGCCCGCAGGCACCCCUUCUGUGCCUCUCUCCCGCUCAGGGGGGAGACCCCCAGGUGAGAAAAGCCAGGAGUGCCUUUAGCUAGGGACCUCCCCCAAACAAGUUCUUGAGCCACUCAGUCUGGAGGUUCUGAGAACUGCAGCCGCUCAUUCUGGAUCAGAGCGCCCCGGCUGGACACCGGCUUCCUGCCUCCUGUCACUGGGCACGUGUCUAUUGAGGGCCUACUGUGUGCUAAGCACUGUGCCGGGUCCCAGAGGCACAGCCGGGAGCCAGACAGCCCCUGUCCCCAUGGGGCUCCCAGCUGAGUUGGGAGGCACAGGUGGGAGAAUAAGCAAAGAAAUUAUCCCAUAUCGGGGGGUGGGGGGGGGGGGAACGUGUCGCACCGUGUGCGUGGUGUCAGCAUCUGAGAGAAGGGGCAUGCAUACACGCGUGUGUGCUCCGAUGUGUGUGUCAGUAAUGUGCGGGCUCCUGGGACACAAAAGCAAGAUUAGGACCCGAGCCGAAGCCAGAAAAUUGACUGCCUGAGCCACCCAGGUGCCCCUGAUCCAAACCUAUUUAAAUGACACCUUCCAGGAAAGCAGGUCGUGGGUGGUGCGGGGCCAGCCCUGACGGCCCCUGAAGGGGGUGCGGAUGUGCUUCUGGUUGCUCCCCUCCCCGUCCCAAACCUGUGUGCCAACGCUCUGUAGCAGAGCGCCUUCAACAGCUUCUGGCGGGGAGCUCAGCCUCGGCACAAAUAUUUAGAGACAUGCGGGGGGCCUGGGUUCCUGAGCAUCUGUUACUGGGGAAGACGCAGAGUUCAGUUGAAAAAAAUACUCAGGUUCCAGUUCUGGGCAGGUUCAAGUCCCAGCUGGGGACCAGGGGGCACCGUUUCCUGGAUUGUUAAAUGAGAAGGUUUGGAUGUGUGGAUUAAAGGUCCUUUUUUCCUCUGUUAUUACAGGUCUUUUAUACCCUCAAAGCUCAAAUUAUAAAUAUUACUAAGAAGCAAGGAAUCAUCUCAAAAGGCUUUUUAAAAUGUUUUUUUUUUAAUAUUUAUUUAUUUUUGAGAGAGAGAGCGAGCAAGCGAGCAGGGGAGGGUCAGAGAGGGAGACACAGAAUCCAAAGCAGGCUCUGGGCUCCGAGCUGUCAGCACAGAGCCCGACGCCGGGUUCAAACUCACCAACCGUGAGAUCAAGACCUGAGCCCAAGUCCGACGCUUAACCGACAGAGCCAUCCAGGCGCAUCUCAAAAGCCUUUAAGAUAUUUAUGACAAUGAUAAACAUAUGUUUUCGCCAACUGUUUUCACAGGCAUUAUCUCCAUUGCUGCAGAUAACCCUGUAAAGGAGGAGUCAGCAGCUUCCUUUUCUAAAUAACAUAACCACCCAUGUAUAUGGGCUUUAUAUAUACGAGGCACUUUACACAUAUGAAAUCAUUUUAGUUGCCCAAGCAACAUGAAAAGGAGGCACAACUGUCCGCAGCUUGCCGAUGAGGAAAUGCUUAGAGGAAAUGACUUGUCCAAGGUCACACACCCAGCAGGUGAUGAGCUGGGGUUCAAGCCUGGCUCUCCCAUCCCCGGGACCCGCAAACUUUGUCUGUAAACGGCCAGACACUAAAUAUUUUCAGCUUUGCAGGCCUCGUGGUCUGUGUCCCAGCUACUCCACUCAGCCAUUAGGACAAAAAAAACAGACACGGACGAUACAGAACAGACAUGCCUGGGUGUUCCAAUAAAACUUUAUUUACAAAAACAGACAUGAGCUGAAUUUGGUCCACAGGCUGCGAUCGGCCCGUGUCUGUUUCAGACUCGAAACCUGCCUUCGGGUUCGGCCCUGGCAACAUUUCUUUCCCACCCUCUCUCCCUACCUGUGCUGCUACUAAGAGUUACGUUUUUGGUCAGAGACCCCUGGCUCUGGAGAGACUGAGUCGGCCUCUCGUUUCUUGAGGGAAUCACAAAGCUCUUGGAAUUUACAACUGCUAGGAAUUAUUAGUGACUGCCAUAACAGAACACGGGGGGGGGGGGUGGGGGGAGGCUUUUAAAAUUGUGAUUUUAAUAGCUGUGACUGGGGAACUUUUGAAGAGGAAAGUGUUAGAGUUUUAGAAAGACACCUCAGCGGGGCACUGUGGCUGUGGAAGGAACUUCUCCUCAAGAGAAGAUCGUUUUCUGAAGUCUGUACGACUGGGAAAUAGAAUGAAAAACAUCGUAAGGCACGAGAAGGUGACUGAAAGGAAGACGGCCACUUGUGCGUGCGCAGGGAGAGGGUGCAGGAGAGAGAGAGUUCCUUCUUAUCACCCAAAAAUUUAGCAUCUGCCACCACCACCCCCCACCCCGCCGCCCCACCCCCGGCAUCCUGAGCAAUCACUCAUGUACUUUCUUCUCUGUCGAUGCGCCUGUUCUGGACAUUUCCUAUCAAUCACACGUGGCGUGACGCUUUGCGACUGGCUUCUUUCGUUUAGCAUCGCGCUCUCAAGGUCCGUCCACGUGGCCUUUUUGUGGCCCAGUGCUGUCCACGUUUUAUUCACCCACCUGCCAGCUGACGGGCAUCUGGAUCGUUCAUACGUUUUGGCUGUCAGGGAUAACAGAGCUUUCCACACGUGCGUGGGUGUGCCCUGUCACGGUCACUCCUCUUCCGCGUUCUACCUACAGGUGGCAUUUUCCGGGUUAUGUGGAAGAUGCGUGGUUAGCCUUUUAAGGAGUAUAUACUCAAAGGAGGGAAAAUGCUGUAAGGAGCACCCCGGGCCCACCAUCCAGGGCCACCGAGUACCAACCUUCGCCAGUUCUGAGUCAUCUGCCUCCCGUCCUGCCCCCCACACCCCCGCCCCGGGACUCUCUGAAGAGUUCCAAAGCCAAUUCAAGCGCCGACUUGAGGUUGCUCCCUUGGCUGAGAGGUCGGCGCUUGUCUUUUGUCCCAGACCAACAGAGCCUCCUACACCCACAUCCUUGUGUGGACGGAAGUGGGGAGAAUGGGCGAACUGGGGCACGGUCCCGAGUGGGUCGACGUGGGGUGGAAAGGAAACAGCUCCUGAGAAAAGCAGGGCUGGCUACAUAGUUGGCACGGGGGAAAUGUGGAGCCCUUGGUUCACAAAGUAUUAAGGAGUUCAAGAUGACAACAUCGGAGCAUUAAAGCAAACAUAGGCCUUGUGCAACCGUCCGUGUCACGUCCCCAGGAGGCCAGCGAAAAGGGUGCCCAGGCAGAACGAGUUCAUCAGACACAGGAAGUUAGAGCCUUGGUGCCUAGGAGAGACCUAAGCACCCCUCACCUCCAAGGCUUGGGACGUUUCCAAGGAAAGUUGGGUCUCCCAUGUGGGAGACAGUGGCACGUGGGACAGAGUUCAAGCCUAUUCCAUUGGAAUCUCCAAAAAUAAGAGGACCCAGUUGACUUGUGGGUUAUAAGUACUUAAAAAAAAAGAAUUCGCCAUUGGCCUUAAAGCCUUCCUCCCUAAGAGCCUGCCGUGGUUUUAUUUAAGCCACGCCAUUUUGUCCUGGACCCUGAGUGUCCCCUGAUCUCACAGCGGGUCACGGGGCUUCAGGCUGAAGAACAGAGGCCCCCUGGUUAGCAAACAGUCCAGCCCAGCGGCAGGACCCGGGAUGCCCUUUCGAGGUAGGUAGCCAUGGCGGCCACCGGCAACCAAUCAGGGCGCCCCAAACCCUCUCAGCUCCAAAGAGCUCCACCGACCAAAUGAACCGGAUUUCCCGCGCUCGCGUCUCAACCCAGGAACGUAUCAGCUUUACUCAAGACCGCGAGAGACCCGAAGCCCCCAAGUGUGUGUUUGGAUGAUGCCCAGCGAGGCCCUCAUGCCACCAGGGCCCUGUCACGGAGGGCAUACGACACGGCUGGGAAGGGGGCCCAGGGGACGAGAGAGGGACUCCUUGAGGAAAGAACAGAUAAGGUCUUUGCACCUCCUCCGGCGGCAUGCGCAGAGGCACAUAGUACUCAUCUGGAUAAUCCAGCAUAAACUCAUCUCCAGAUCCUUGACUUAAACACCUCUUUUGCCACACAAGAUAAGCCCGCCAGUAAUUUUAGCGAAUGAGCCGUGGCACACAUAAAGGCCAGAGGAUGGAAACGCUCUGGGUUUUGAUAAAAAAGCAGUUCUGGCUCGGCUCCCUCCUGCUAGUCGCGCAAAGACCUAUCCGGAGAAGGGCUGAUGAAUUGAGGAACAAGAAACGAGGCCAACGUGAGUCUCCUUUCAAGCGCUGUGCUAAUAUGAAACCAAACAAGUUGAAAUUGUUCCAAGAGGGGAUUAAAGCAACAUGUUAUUUUGAGUGAUUGCUUAAUUUAUUGAGCUGCGGCUAGAUCUGUAAUGAAAUACAGCCCUUGCAACUGAUAACGUCCUGCUGCAAUUGAACUUCUACAAUUAAGGAAUAUUUUCCAGGAGGUCCUGUGGAACCGCUUAGAACUUUUCGUCUCGGUGGCGGGGUGCUUCUGAGCGCUCACUUUCACGGCAAGUUUGUUUCGUUUUGUUUUUUUAAAGAGCGACAGGCCGAUGUUAACAAGGAAAAUAAACGGGCAUUUUACUGAA